CAGUAGCCACGGUAAUACGUAGGUGGCGAGCGUUGUCCGGAAUUAUUGGGCGUAAGGGGAGCGCAGGCGGACAUAUAAGUCCAUCUUAAAAGUGCGUGGCUCAACCCCGUGAGGGGAUGGAAACUGCUGACCUAGAGUAUCGGAGAGGAAAGUGGAAUUCCUAGUGUAGCGGUGAAAUGCGCAGAUAUUAGGAAGAACACCAGUGGCGAAGGCGACUUUCUGGACGAAAACUGACGCUGAGGCGCGAAAGCGUGGGUAGCAAACAGGAUUAGAUACCCCCGUAGUCCCUGUCUCUUAUACA
rnacentral:rRNA from 1 species